rnacentral:rRNA from 1 species
GCUGCCGGCCAUAGAACGGAGGGAAACGCCCGGUCUCGUCCGAUCCCGGAAGCUAAGCCUUCGUUCGCCCAGGCGUUAGCGUGGUGGGAAACCACACGUGAAAUCUGGGUGCUGGCAGCU